GCUUAACAUAUGAAAAGGGUCUCUGUUUACAGUCUUAGGAAUUACAUAUGAAAAGGGGCUUCGGUUUACAGUCUUAGGAAUGAAAAGGGGAAGUUUACAGUCUUAGGAAUGAAAAGGGGAAGUUGAUCUGAGAUGCUUGGGUCUCCCUCUUCA